rnacentral:RNase_P_RNA from 1 species
UCCGGGGGAAGCUCACUGCCGAGGCCACCCACGGGGUGCGCGUCACCCGCGCCCCGCCUCGGGGAAGGUCUGAAGCCGCGGCGGUUCCUGCGCGGAGCCCCGGCGGAUGCUCAUGGCCCCGCGGUGCUUUGAGACAGACUCACGGCCGGCGUGCUGAGUCCAAUGGGUGAGGUGGGGCAGCGCCCCAUAACCCAAUUCAGACUACUCUCCCCCGGA